rnacentral:rRNA from 1 species
GGUUUCCGUAGGUGAACCUGCGGAAGGAUCAUUAUUGAAAUAAACUGACAGGUUGUUGCUGGUUCUCUAGGGAACAUGUGCACGCCUUGUCAUCUUUAUAUCUCCACCUGUGCACAUUUUGUAGACCUGGAUAUCUCUCUGAGUGCUUGCGCUCAGGUUUGAGGAUUGACUUUUUGUCUCUCCUUACAUUUCCAGGCCUAUGUUUCUUCAUAUACCCUAAUGUAUGUUAUAGAAUGUAAUAAAUGGGACUUUUGUGCCUAUAAACCUAUACAACUUUCAGCAACGGAUCUCUUGGCUCUCGCAUCGAUGAAGAACGCAGCGAAAUGCGAUAAGUAAUGUGAAUUGCAGAAUUCAGUGAAUCAUCGAAUCUUUGAACGCACCUUGCGCUCCUUGGUAUUCCGAGGAGCAUGCCUGUUUGAGUGUCAUUAAUAUAAUCAACCUCUUCAGCUUUUGCUUGCUGAGUGUUGGAUGUGGGGGUACUUUUUUUUGCUGGCCUCUCUGAGAGGUCAGCUCCCCUGAAAUGUAUUAGCGGAAUAAUUUGUGGACCGUUCAUUGGUGUGAUAACUAUCUACGCUAUUGACGUGAAGCAAUUCUGCUUCUAAUAGUCCAUUGACUUGGACAAAUUUCAUUAACAUGACCUCAAAUCAGGUAGGACUACCCGCUGAACUUAAGCAUAUCAAUAAGCGGAGGAAAAGAAACUAACAAGGAUUCCCCUAGUAACUGCGAGUGAAGCGGGAAAAGCUCAAAUUUAAAAUCUGACAGUCUCUGGCUGUCCGAGUUGUAAUCUAGAG